rnacentral:rRNA from 1 species
AACGAACGCUGGCGGCAUGCUUAACACAUGCAAGUCGAACGCGCCGCACGGGUAGUGGCACACGGGGGAGUAUCGCGUGGGGACAUCCCCUUUUCUACUGGGUAGCUCUGGGAGACUGGAAUUAAUACCGUAUACGCCCUCCGCGGGAAAGAGUUAUCGGGGAAGGAUGGGCCCGCGUUGGAUUAGCUAGUUGGUGGGGUAAAGGCCUACCAAGGCGACGAUCCAUAGCUGGUCUGAGAGGAUGAUCAGCCACACUGGGACUGAGACACGGCCCAAACUCCUACGGGAGGCAGCAGUGGGGAAUAUUGGACAAUGGGCGAAAGCCUGAUCCAGCCAUGCCGCGUGAGUGAUGAAGGCCUUAGGGUUGUAAAGCUCUUUUACCGAUGAAGAUAAUGACGGUAGUGGGAGAAGAAGCCCCGGCUAACUCCGUG